rfam:Trichuris trichiura, WGS project CBXK01000000 data, contig: TTRE_953
AAAACGGCCCUUUUCAGGGCCACUAAAUUAUGCGCAUGAUAAAUUU